AGCAGCCGCGGUAAUUCCAGCUCCAAUAGCGUAUAUUAAAGUUGUUGCAGUUAAAAAGCUCGUAGUUGAAUUUCGGGAUCAAUAUGUCGGUCGUGCCAUUGGUACGUACUGGUAUCAUUGAUUUCUCCUUUCUGACGAACCAUGAUGUCAUUAAUUUGGUGUUAUGGGGAGUUAGGACUGUUACUUUGAAAAAAUUAGAGUGUUUAAAGCAGGCAUUAGCUUGAAUACAUUAGCACGGAAUAAUGAAAUAGGACGUUUGACCCUAUUUUGUUGGUUUCUAGGAUCGACGUAAUGAUUAAUAGGGAUAGUUGGGGGCAUUAGUAUUCAAUUGUCAGAGGUGAAAUUCUUGGAUUUAUUGAAGACUAACUACUGCGAAAGCAUUUGCCAAGGAUGUUUUCAUUAAUCAAGAACGAAAGUUAGGGGAUCGAAGACGAUCAGAUACCGUCGUAGUCUUAACCAUAAACUAUGCCGACUAGGGAUCGGACGCAGUUAAUUUUAUUAAUGACGUGUUCGGCACCUU
rnacentral:rRNA from 1 species